CUCUGCUGCCCUUUAGAAGAUUUUGAAGCCCACAAUGAGGUCUCUCAUCAGUCUCCUCUUCUCCAGGCUGAACAAACCAAGUGACCUCAGCCACCCCUCAUAAGGC